UGCCGGAGUGGCGAAAUUGGUAGACGCAGUUGAUUCAAAAUCAACCGCCUUCGGGUGUGCCGGUUCGAGUCCGCCUUCGGCACC
rnacentral:tRNA from 1 species